rnacentral:tRNA from 1 species
GUGGCUCACUGGUAGAGCUCUUGCCUUGCAUGCAAGAGGCCCUGGGUUUGAUUCCUCAGC